rnacentral:rRNA from 1 species
GAGCUUGCUCCUGGAUUCAGCGGCGGACGGGUGAGUAAUGCCUAGGAAUCUGCCUGGUAGUGGGGGAUAACGUCCGGAAACGGGCGCUAAUACCGCAUACGUCCUGAGGGAGAAAGUGGGGGAUCUUCGGACCUCACGCUAUCAGAUGAGCCUAGGUCGGAUUAGCUAGUUGGUGGGGUAAAGGCCUACCAAGGCGACGAUCCGUAACUGGUCUGAGAGGAUGAUCAGUCACACUGGAACUGAGACACGGUCCAGACUCCUACGGGAGGCAGCAGUGGGGAAUAUUGGACAAUGGGCGAAAGCCUGAUCCAGCCAUGCCCGGGUGUGUGAAGAAGGUCUUCGGAUUGUCCCGCACUUUACGUUGGGACGAAGGGCAGUAAGUUAAUACCUUGCUGUUUUGACGUUACCAACAGAAUAAGCACCGGCUAACUUCGUGCCAGCAGCCGCGGUAAUACGAAGGGUGCAAGCGUUAAUCGGAAUUACUGGGCGUAAAGCGCGCGUAGGUGGUUCAGCAAGUUGGAUGUGAAAUCCCCGGGCUCAACCUGGGAACUGCAUCCAAAACUACUGAGCUAGAGUACGGUAGAGGGUGGUGGAAUUUCCUGUGUAGCGGUGAAAUGCGUAGAUAUAGGAAGGAACACCAGUGGCGAAGGCGACCACCUGGACUGAUACUGACACUGAGGUGCGAAAGCGUGGGGAGCAA